rnacentral:rRNA from 1 species
GACGAACGCUGGCGGCGUGCUUAACACAUGCAAGUCGAACGGAAAGGCCUGCUUUUCCUUGUGGAUUGCGGGUACUCGAGUGGCGAACGGGUGAGUAACACGUGAGUGAUCUGCCCCCAACUUGGGUAUAAGCCUGGGAAACUGGGUCUAAUUCCCGAUAGGACCGCAGGGUGGUGCCGGUGGUGGAAAACGUUUUUCUAGUGGUUGGGGAUGGGCUGCCGGCCUAUCAGCUUGUUGGUGGGGUAUUGGCCUACCAAGGGGGCGACGGGUAGCCGGCCUGGGAGGGUGGACAGCCGCAUUGGGACUGGGACACGGCCCAGACGCCAACGGGAGGCAGCAGAGGGGACGCAAGCGGAGUGAGCGGAACCCUGCUGCAGCGACGCCGCGUGGGGGAUGACGGGCUUCGGAUGGUAAGCUCCUGUCGACCGAGAGGAAGCCACCUGGUUGGAAGGGUGGUGACGGUAGUGGUAGAAGAAGCACCGGCUAACUACGUG